GACGAACGCUGGCGGCGUGCUUAACACAUGCAAGUGGAACGGAAAGGCCCUGCUUUUGUGGGGUGCUCGAGUGGCGAACGGGUGAGUAACACGUGAGUAACCUGCCCUUGACUUUGGGAUAACUUCAGGAAACUGGGGCUAAUACCGGAUAGGAGCUCCUGCUGCAUGGUGGGGGUUGGAAAGUUUCGGCGGUUGUGGAUGGACUCGCGGCUUAUCAGCUUGUUGGUGGGGUAGUGGCUUACCAAGGCUUUGACGGGUAGCCGGCCUGAGAGGGUGACCGGCCACAUUGGGACUGAGAUACGGCCCAGACUCCUACGGGAGGCAGCAGUGGGGAAUAUUGCACAAUGGGCGGAAGCCUGAUGCAGCAACGCCGCGUGCGGGAUGACGGCCUUCGGGUUGUAAACCGCUUUCGCCUGUGACGAAGCGUGAGUGACGGUAAUGGGUAAAGAAGCACCGGCUAACUACGUG
rnacentral:rRNA from 1 species